rnacentral:rRNA from 1 species
UGGGGAAUAUUGGACAAUGGGCGAAAGCCUGAUCCAGCCAUGCCGCGUGUGUGAAGAAGGUCUUCGGAUUGUAAAGCACUUUAAGUUGGGAGGAAGGGCAUUAACCUAAUACGUUAGUGUUUUGACGUUACCGACAGAAUAAGCACCGGCUAACUCUGUGCCAGCAGCCGCGGUAAUACAGAGGGUGCAAGCGUUAAUCGGAAUUACUGGGCGUAAAGCGCGCGUAGGUGGUUUGUUAAGUUGGAUGUGAAAUCCCCGGGCUCAACCUGGGAACUGCAUUCAAAACUGACUGACUAGAGUAUGGUAGAGGGUGGUGUAAUUUCCUGUGUAGCGGUGAAAUGCGUAGAUAUAGGAAGGAACACCAGUGGCGAAGGCGACCACCUGGACUAAUACUGACACUGAGGUGCGAAAGCGUUGGGAGCAAACA